GGCUCUAUAGUGUAGUGGUUAGCACAUCUGCUUUAUACGCAGAAGGUCCUGGGUUCCUGCCCCAAGUGGAGCCA
rnacentral:tRNA from 1 species